rnacentral:rRNA from 1 species
UUGACCUCAAAUCAGGUAGGACUACCCGCUGAACUUAAGCAUAUCAAUAAGCGGAGGAAAAGAAACUAACAAGGAUUCCCCUAGUAACUGCGAGUGAAGCGGGAAAAGCUCAAAUUUAAAAUCUGGCGGUCUUGCGGCCGUCCGAGUUGUAAUCUGGAGAAGCGUUUAUCCGCGUCGGACCGUGUACAAGUCUUCUGGAAGGGAGCGUCGUAGAGGGUGAGAAUCCCGUCUUUGACACGGACAACC